AUAUAAACAUCAAUGCACCCAUCUUCAUGAUUAUCCUCCAUCGCAUCUGACCCUGCCAAAUUAAAAACAUAUUCUCUCUGUUAAAAUCGGAACGACAAAAAAUAGAUCCAGGAAAAAUACUUAAUGCACGAAAAGAAAAAGAAAAGAGGAAAGAGCACACCGAUAUUUUAGGUAGUUUGUCCAACGGCCUACGUCCACGGACGAAGACGGAGCAAAUACUUUAUUAAUGUCAAAAGGCGGAGUACAAAGAAGAUCUCUCAAAGAACCAAAACUUAAUUAGAUCGAAAACGCCGAAAUCCGCAUCCGUACAAGCGACUCCAAAUAAGCAGCUCGACUCCUCAACCGUACGGAUGGACCACCAAAAGCUUGAUUUAAUUUGCAUGGCUCUCUUACUUUGAGUCACCGCAUCGUUAACUAGGCCGUAGCAUGUAUAUAUAAUACAUGUCUCCCAACUAGUGUCUAAUCCUAAUUCAAUUAGAAUUAAACUCCUACUUAUAAUCCAUAUAUGCCAAAUUAAAUCUAAAUUAUAUCUAAUCUUAAUUAGAUUAGGAUUUAACUUCAAUUUAGAUAACUACAAAUCUAAACCAAAUAUAACAAUCUCCAUCUUGGUUUAAUUUGUAGUUUAGCCCCCACGAUGUCGAGGUCGCCACAAAACUUGAAAAAUAAGAUAAUGAACUAUAAACAAAGUUUUCAGUAGGUA
rnacentral:lncRNA from 1 species